rnacentral:rRNA from 1 species
CCUACGGGAGGCAGCAGUGGGGAAUAUUGGACAAUGGGCGAAAGCCUGAUCCAGCCAUGCCGCGUGUGUGAAGAAGGCCUUUUGGUUGUAAAGCACUUUAAGCGAGGAGGAGGCUACCGAGAUUAAUACUCUUGGAUAGUGGACGUUACUCGCAGAAUAAGCACCGGCUAACUCUGUGCCGGCAGCCGCGGUAAUACAGAGGGUGCGAGCGUUAAUCGGAUUUACUGGGCGUAAAGCGUGCGUAGGCGGCUUUUUAAGUCGGAUGUGAAAUCCCUGAGCUUAACUUAGGAAUUGCAUUCGAUACUGGGAAGCUAGAGUAUGGGAGAGGAUGGUAGAAUUCCAGGUGUAGCGGUGAAAUGCGUAGAGAUCUGGAGAAUACCGAUGGCGAAGGCAGCCAUCUGGCCUAAUACUGACGCUGAGGUACGAAAGCAUGGGGAGCAAACAGGAUUAGAUACCCUGGUAGUCCAUGCCGUAAACGAUGUCUACUAGCCGUUGGGGCCUUUGAGGCUUUAGUGGCGCNGCACGCGAUAAGUAGACCGCCGUGGGUAGGUACGGUCGCGACGAACGUAAACGUACGAAGAAGUAGACGGACGNGAGACGNGCGACGGACGACACGAGGGAGGUAGG